rnacentral:misc_RNA from 1 species
GCAAACUUGGUCAUUUAGAGGAAGUAAAAGUCGUAACAAGGUUUCCGUAGGUGAACCUGCGGAAGGAUCAUUACAGGGUUAUGCCGGAUAUGUUUUCUGCUCUCUUGGGAGUGAAAUCUAUCUCGGCAGCCAUGAUCAUCCCUUUGUGCAUAUAUCGAUAAUUUGAGGGUUUUGGUAGACCUCAAAAAUCUGCCAUAACCCUCCAAUAAACUCUUAACAAAUUUGACUGAGUGAUUGUUUUUUGUUAAUAAAUACAACUUUCAACAACGGAUCUCUUGGCUCUCGCAUCGAUGAAGAACGCAGC